ensembl:lncRNA
GUUUAUAAAAAUCUUGGAGCUUGGAACACUUCUCCCCUCCCUAAGAUGACUCACAGCUUUGCUUACCUCCACCCCAAGCACGCCAAAAAAGCAGGAGGAAAGUCCGCUGCACCGAUCUGCUCCCAUCCUGCUGUCCUCACCCACCCCGGCAGGGAUCUGGGCACAGGCCUCUCUCACUGCAGGGGGACACGGCAGAGACAGCACCCAGGGGACAACUGAAGGUGUGGGCCAGAGCAGUCACCUGCCCUCUCCCUUUCUCAUUCUGAAGAUCCUGGAAGGGAAUCUCCAUGCUGGGGCAGGCAGAAGGGCUCCUGCCUUUGGGGGAGCCAGAACGAAGUGCUGACUCACGGACAGGCAGUGCGGCUUUGCCCACCUGGAAGUGCUAAUGCCGGCUUCUCCCCUAACCUGUAUGUGACCCAGUUCUUCCAUGACACUGACAGGCUUCCUAGAGAACCAAGGGGAGGUGACAGGCACCACAUUAAGCUCCUGAAAGAGAUCAAAUGCUGUUCUUCUGGAGUUUCCAGUCCAAAAGGAGGCCUGGAAACUGGAUGACCACCAUAACACCAACAGCUCAGGUUUCAACGGCACUUGACCUUUUUCAGGGCAUUUUAUAAUACAAACCCAAGCCAGAAACCUUGGUUAAUCUGUAUUCCCUGCCUUCACCCCUGCCUUCACACACCUUCUGUACUGGCCUAACAGGUCUUUGUUGGUUGAAUCAGUUUGUGGGAGUUAAUGAGAUCCUCAGAGUGACUUGGGAGGUAGUCAGGGUUACAAAUUCAAGCUCACAGACUGUAAGAAGGGCAAGGAACUGACAUUUGUGAGGGGUAUGGGUGCCAGAUUUAGGAAAUAAAAGACAGAUUCCCAGCUAAAUUUGAAUUUCAGAUAAACAGCAAAGAAUUUUUUUAGUAUAAGUAUGUCCUGUGAAUUUGGGAUAUACUUAUAUUAAUUAUGGCCAGUGAAUAUACUUAUACUAAAAAAUUCUUUGUUGUUUAUCUGAAAUUCAACUUUAACUGGGUGUCCUGUGUUUUAUUGGCUAACCCUAACUGGAGGCCUACAUCUCUAUAUUCUCUCAUUCGAUCCUCAUACAGCCCUGGGAGGGAUCAAUUAUUAAGCUAUAUUGACCUCAGUGUACAGAUGAGAAAAAGGAUACUUUGGGAGGUAACCUCGUUUGCUUAAUGUACGACAGUUCAGAAAAAGUCAGUGGGGACUGGAACUUUGAGCCCCUGAUCUCCCAGUUGAGGGCUGCUUUACCCACUCUAUUCUUUAAGGGGCUGGAGGUUGCAGGGCUAGGAGAGGCUGUGGCUAGCCCCAAGCUGUGGAGGAUCUCCCAUCAUUAUGGUCAGAGAAGGUGGAUCCUAGAGGGGAGACUCAGCUCUUGGAACCAAGCCCAGGCAUAUGGACCAAAUCCACCCAGGUUCCUGUGGGCAACACUACACAGGCAGGCAGGGACUGCCCAGUGGCACCUGUCACCACAGUUCAUAAGUAAUAUGUUUGCACCCAAGUGGUUUAGGGUCAUGUGUAGAAUGCCUGCAUGCUACAUGAAUAAUAACAACCCGAUAAUAACAAUACAGUGAAAACAAAAACAAUAGCUAAUAUGUGCCAGGCAUUGUGAUAACUCUUUAUAUCCAUUGCUUCUUUAAAUCUCCAUCACCACCAAAAAACCCGAUAAUUUUAUUACUAUUACCAGUAGCCACCAUUUGUUGAGUGUUACCACGUGCCUAGCCUAUAUAGGUACUUUAUGUUAUUAGCUCAUUUAACAUAAACAACAACAAAAACCCUAUCUGCUGAGUAUCAUUAUCUACAUUUCAGAUGAGAAUCAGAAAAGUUAAGAAGCAGACCCAAGAUCACAUAGCUGCCAGAACUCAAACCCAGAUCUGCCUUAUUCCAAAGCCUAUGUGCUUUCCACUGCUCCAAAAAGCUCCUCUUACCCAGGGAGGCAGAACACUACGAUGCCAGUUCCAGCCAGCAAUCCCACACCCCUCCACCCAGACAAAGGAACCUGUGUCAAAACACAGCCUCACUUCCCCUUGGGGCCAAUCCAUCCUGGAAUAAAAGCUUCAGAACAAAGUCUGGGCUCCAUAAUGCCUCUGGCUGAUACCUUAUCACUGGGAGUGCCCCUGUGAUCCUAACAAUUUCUGGCCACUUCCUUACAUAAGCCAGCCUUAGGGAGUGCCUGUCAUGGUCUGAGGUCCAUCUUUCUGUUGAGGUCACUUUCCAGCUCCAUGCCCUUUGGGCUGGUUCGAUCAAUGAGCAAAACAAUAUGACCCAGAGACCCACCAGGUUCCUAAAAAUGAGAAACCAAUGUGUCAAUAUUCCC